rnacentral:lncRNA from 1 species
GGUCUUUCUCAUGGAGGAGAGGUCUGUGGAAGAGGAUGUGUCGUCGAUGGAGCGGUAGAUUUGGUCGAGGAGAGAAGAGGAGAAAGAAGGAUGACGAUGGUUGCGGAGACGGUAGUGGUGGUGGAGGUCUAAAUUAGGUUCGUUAAAGUUCCAAGGAUCCAUGAGAAGAGAAGAAGUGAUGAUUCUUUAUAGAGGAAGAAGGGAAUGAUAGUGUUGGGAGUCUGGUGAGGAAUGAUUAAGAGAGAGAGUGAGAGUGAAGAAGAGAGAAGAGGGGAACGCACGCUCUGUUUCUUUGUGUUCUGCUUUCAGAGAGAUAGAGAGAGAGAGUGUGUUGUGUUGUGUAGUAAUGUGAAUGUGUGUGAGAGGAAGAAGGAAGAAAGAGGUCUUAUCAGAAAUAUAUUAUUA